AAAAAAUUGAAAAAAAGAAAUAAAAAGAAAUAGGAAGAGGAAGUCUGGAAAAUAGAAUUUUGCUAAUGUUAUUUCCGUUUUUUUUUUUUCGGUUUUUCUAUAUUCCUCGGUCGUUUAA
rnacentral:ribozyme from 15 species